GGGUGAGUGCCCGAGCGGCCAAAGGGGACAGACUGUAAAUCUGUUGGCAUAUGCCUUCGGGGGUUCGAAUCCCUCCUCACCCA
rnacentral:tRNA from 1 species